rnacentral:rRNA from 1 species
GUCUUCUGAUUGUAAAGUUCUUUUAUUUAGGAAAAAAAGCUUGAGAGGAAAUGAUUAAGCCUUGAUUGUACUAAAUGAAUAAGUGACAGCUAACUAUGUGCCAGCAGCUGCGGUAAAACAUAGGUCACGAGCAUUAUCCGGAUUUAUUGGGCGUAAAGGAAGCGUAGGCGGACAAGUUGAUCUAUUGUGAAAGGCACUUGCUCAACGAGUUGUUUGUGAUAGAUAUCGUUUGUCUAGAAUUAGUUAGGAGAUACUGGAAUUCAAUGUGUAGCGGUGGAAUGCGUAGAUAUAUUGAGGAACACCAGAGGCUAAGGCGAGUAUCUAGGACAUCAGUAGUCCACGCCGUAAACGAUGGGUAUUAGGUAUUUGGUUUAGGACUGAGUGCUGUAGCUAACGC